rnacentral:rRNA from 1 species
CCUACGGGAGGCAGCAGUGGGGAAUAUUGGACAAUGGGCGCAAGCCUGAUCCAGCAAUGCCGCGUGAGUGAUGAAGGCCUUAGGGUCGUAAAGCUCUUUUACCAGGGAUGAUAAUGACAGUACCUGGAGAAUAAGCUCCGGCUAACUCCGUGCCAGCAGCCGCGGUAAUACGGAGGGAGCUAGCGUUGUUCGGAAUUACUGGGCGUAAAGCGUACGUAGGCGGUUAUUCAAGUCAGAGGUGAAAGCCCGGGGCUCAACCCCGGAACGGCCUUUGAAACUAGGUAGCUAGAAUCUUGGAGAGGUCAGUGGAAUUCCGAGUGUAGAGGUGAAAUUCGUAGAUAUUCGGAAGAACACCAGUGGCGAAGGCGACUGACUGGACAAGUAUUGACGCUGAGGUACGAAAGCGUGGGGAGCAAACAGGAUUAGAUACCCUGGUAGUCCACGCCGUAAACGAUGAUAACUAGCUGUUCGGGCACUUGGUGCUUGAGUGGCGCAGCUACGCAUUAAGUUAUCCGUCCGUCGGGUAGGUACGGUCGCGAAGAAGUUAAAACGUUAAAAGGUAAAGUUAGUACGGUCGUGUAGUUACGUUGUCCGAACGGACGACGACGAGGGAGGAGG